GAACAUCUUGCUUUUACUUGCGGUAGCAGCCUACGCAAUUUUUCUUCGAACCAAACCUCCGAAGUUAAAACCAACAUAAGCAUAAAGCAGGCUGCUCUCGAACCAUUGCCAUCGCGAGGAACGUUCCCGAAUAUUUAGUAUUCGCUUAUCUCAAUAUAAAAACAAUAGGAACUACGAUACUAUAUCAAAAUGGUGCAAGAAAGAUUAUCCUCAUCUCUUGCCAAGGGAGCUACUUUCCAGAACUCAUCAAAAAAAGAAAAGGAGACAAUAGCUGCGAGCGUUGCUUCUCGAUCAAAUAUCAACAAAGCUACGGGUGGAAAAUACGGUGCCUGGGGUCCUGUUUACAAGAACAAACAGAACUUUAUAGACAUGCAUAAUAGUUAGAAAAAGUUUAAAAGAUCAAGCAACAAUUACUUAUUUUUUUGUCUCUUUAAAGCAUUUAUAUUUUGUAUAAUUCAACCACAGUUCAAUUUGCUCGUCAAGUAUUUCGGGGCUUAUGGGAAUUUUUCAAGCACACAACGAAGCAUAAAAUGGCUAAAAUUUUCGUCUUUCCUAAUGAUGGCUUCGCCGGAAUAAUUGAAAGACGAAAAUGAAGGAUUAGCUGGAACGUUCAUUUGUUAUGUUCAGUUUCAUAGCAAGCGCGUCAAUGGCAAUGGUUCGCAGAAAAUUAUUAAAACAACUCUAUUGCUUUAUAUUAUUAAAACUUACUAAUAUCAGUGAUAAAAGUUGUGGUUUUUCUUCUACUAACACAAGCUUUUCCAAUGCAUAUAAACAAUGUAUGGUUUUAUACGCAAAUAUACAUGAAUAAUUAACUUUGA